AAUAUAUACGAUUAACGAGUGACCAGACCAGGCGAGACAUAGUGACGGAGGAGAGGAGGAGGUAGAGUUUGAAUAUGGAGACGGCGAAGAAGACAGAAGAAGACGAAGAAGAGGAUCUCAAAUUCGAGGCAUCAGAGAUCGAGUACGUCAGCUAUGGAGGAGAGCAUCACUUACCCCUCAUCAUGGGGCUUGUCGACUCCGAACUCAGCGAGCCCUACUCCAUUUUCACCUAUCGAUACUUCGUCUACCUCUGGCCCCAGCUCUCCUUCUUGGCGUUUCAUAGAGGAAGAUGUGUGGGAACAGUGGUUUGCAAGAUGGGGGAGCAUCGAAAUACGUUUAGAGGCUACAUUGCCAUGUUGGUUGUGAUCAAACCUUAUAGAGGAAAAGGAAUAGCUACAGAACUUGUUACCAGGUCCAUUCAAGUGAUGAUGGAAUCAGGUUGUGAAGAGGUGACAUUAGAAGCAGAAGUAACGAAUAAAGGAGCGCUGGCAUUAUACGGUCGCCUUGGUUUCGUAAGAGCGAAGCGACUCUUCCGCUAUUACUUGAACGGAGUUGAUGCUUUCCGUCUGAAGUUGUUGUUCCCUAGUCCUUUAUUACAUCCCUCCCUUUCAAUGAUGGCAGAUAAAGAUGACAGCCAUUGGCACAAUAAUGAUCACAUUCCGAUUGAAGAAUGUUCCGAAAUUCAUUGAAGCAAGUCACUUUUAGAAUUUCCAUCUCCACAUACAUGUGUCACAACCUGGUACUGGUGCUGCAUACAAGAGACCAAUUGAUGAGGAAAUUAAGGAUAGAAAGGUCGAUGGCGAGUGAGACCUAAGAGCUUAGUGAUGUAUUCGUUGGGGACCAUAUAGUCGAGGAAGAUCAAGUGGGACUAUUUUUUAUUUUAUUUUAUUAAAACAUGUUAUUUUAAAAAGUUUUAUUUAAAUAUUGCUCAUUUUUAUGUUAAAGACAAUUAUGUUAUUUUAAAAAAAAAACCAUGGCCAUGUAUUUAUUUUCAAGCUUUUUUUAAAGUUUUUAUUCAAUAAAAGAGCAAUAUUUACGAUUA